AGUGUCGUGAGAUGUUGGGUUAAGUCCUGCAACGAGCGCAACCCUUGGUUCUAGUUGCCAGCAUUGAGUUGGGCACUCCAGAGCGACUGCCGGUGACAAGUCGGAGGAAGGUGGGGAUGACGUCAAAUCAUCAUGCCCCUUAUGACCUGGGCUACACACGUGAUACAAUGGAUGGUACAAAGGGCAGAGAAGCGGCGACGCAUGAGCGAAUCCCAGAAAACCAUUCUCAGUUCGGAUUGCAGGCAGCAACUCGCCUGCAUGAAGCCGGAAUCGCUAGUAAUCGCGGAUCAGCAUGCCGCGGUGAAUACGUUCCCGGGCCUUGUACACACCGCCCGUCACACCACGAGAGUUUGUAACACCCGAAGUCGGUGAGGUAACCGCAAGGAGCCAGCCGCCGAAGGUGGGACAGAUGAUUGGGGUGAAGUCGUAACAAGGUAGCCGUAUCGGAAGGUGCGGCUGGAUCACCUCCUU
rnacentral:rRNA from 1 species